rnacentral:rRNA from 1 species
ACGGAGGAUGCAAGUGUUAUCCGGAAUCACUGGGCGUAAAGCGUCUGUAGGUGGUCAAAUAAGUCAACUGUUAAAUCUUGAGGCUCAACCUCAAAAUCGCAGUCGAAACUAUUCGACUAGAGUAUAGUAGGGGUAAAGGGAAUUUCCAGUGGAGCGGUGAAAUGCGUAGAGAUUGGAAAGAACACCGAUGGCGAAGGCACUUUACUGGGCUAUUACUGACACUGAGAGACGAAAGCUAGGGUAGCAAAUGGGAUUAGAUACCCCAGUAGUCCUAGCCGUAAACAAUGGAUACUAGAUGUUGAACAGAUCGACCUGUGCAGUAUCAAAGCUAACGCGUUAAGUAUCCCGCCUGGGAAGUAUGCUCGCAAGAGUG